rnacentral:rRNA from 1 species
CCUACGGGUGGCAGCAGUAAGGGAUAUUGGUCAAUGGCGGAAACCCUGAACCAGCAACGCCGCGUGAGGGACGACGGUUCUCGGAUUGUAAACCUCUGUCUUCUGUGAAGCUGAUGACGGUAGCAGAGGAGGAAGCUCCGUCUAACUACGUGCCAGCAGCCGCGGUACUACGUAGGGAGCGAGCGUUGUCCGGAUUUACUGGGUGUAAAGGGUGCGUAGGCGGCUUGGCAAGUCAGUAGUGAAAUCCAUGGGCUUAACCCAUGAACUGUUAUUGAAACUGUCGGGCUUGAGUGAAGGAGAGGUAUGCGGAAUGCCCGGUGUAGCGGUGAAAUGCUUAGAGAUCGGGAGGAACACCAGUGGCGAAGGCAGCCUACUGGGCUUGAACUGACGCUGAGGCACGAAAGCGUGGGUAGCAAACAGGAUUAGAUACCCGGGUAGUC